GACGUAGGGCGCGAGCGUUGUCCGGAUUUAUUGGGCGUAAAGAGCUCGUAGGCGGCUUGUCGCGUCGUCCGUGAAAACUUGGGGCUCAACCCCAAGCUUGCGGUCGAUACGGGCAGGCUAGAGUUCGGUAGGGGAGACUGGAAUUCCUGGUGUAGCGGUGAAAUGCGCAGAUAUCAGGAGGAACACCGGUGGCGAAGGCGGCACUCUGGGCCGGUACUGACGCUGAGGAGCGAAAGCGUGGGGAGCAAACAGG
rnacentral:rRNA from 1 species